UUUUCACCAUGGUCCAGUAGAAGUUAAGAAGUAGGAGUGUAAGACCCCCUUUUGGGGAUCCCCACUCUAGUCUCAGGAGAGAGAGCACACACAAAGAAACACGAGAAUCU
rnacentral:pre_miRNA from 7 species